rnacentral:rRNA from 1 species
UACGGGGGGAGCAAGCGUUGUUCGGAUUUACUGGGCGUAGAGGGCGCGUAGGCGGUCAGCACAAGUCAGUUGUGAAAUCUCCGGGCUUAACUCGGAAAGGUCAACUGAUACUGUGCGACUAGAGUGCGGAAGGGGCAACUGGAAUUCUCGGUGUAGCGGUGAAAUGCGUAGAUAUCGAGAGGAACACCUGCGGCGAAGGCGGGUUGCUGGGCCGACACUGACGCUGAUGCGCGAAAGCGUGGGGAGCAAACAGG